UUCACACGCGUAUCUGCCCUCUCAUUGGCUAGAAUAGUCCCCCCGAUCUCGUCUGUCUUCAAUUAUUGAGGACAUGUAUGUUCAUUGUUUGAGCGGUCACUUGGUUAUCUUGUCAAUAUAAUAGAUCAUCUUUGAUUUAGUCUUGUGACAGCUGGCGCUUUCAUGGAGAUCAUAUUUCGCUCUGGUCGCAGUAACUCAUUUAGUUUAUGCAGAUGACGAAAAGGACGAUGACCAAGGGCAGUGUUUGGGUCAAGUGAAAGGACCUGAACCCUAGGACCAUGCCUCAGGACUACCUGGCCUGAUGACUCCAGUCCACCUGGUCGUGCUGCUGCUCCAGUUUCAACUGUUCUGCCUGCAACUAUGGAACACUGACCUGUUCACCAGACGUGCUACCUUGUCCCGAACAUGCAGUUUUCGACGCUCUCUCUACUGCACCUGCUGUCUCUAACUCUGAAUGAUCGGCUAUGAAAAGCCAACUGACAUUUACUCCUGAGGUGCUGACCUGCUGCACCUUCUACAACCACUGUGAUUAUUAUUAUUUGACCCUGCUGGUCAUCUAUGAAUGUUUGAACAUCUUGGCCAUGUACUGUUAUAAUCUCCACCCGGCACAGCCAGAAGAGGACUGGCCACCCAUCAUAGCCUGGUUCCUCUCUAGGUUUCUUCCUAGGUUCCUGCCUUUAUAGGGAGUUGUUCCUAGUCACUGCUUCUACAUCUGCAUUCAUUGCUGUUUGGGGUUUUAGGCUGGGUUUCUGUAUAGCACUUUGUGACAUCGGCUGAUGUAAAAAGGGCUUUAUGAAUACAUUUGAUAGAUCACUUGGUAAACUAUACUGAACAAAAAUAUAAACGCAUCAUGCAACAAUUUAAUUGGUUUUACUGAGUUGUAGUUCAUAUGAGGAAAUCAGUCAAUUGAAAUAAAUUAGGCCCUAAUCUCUGGAUUUCACAUGACUGGUAAUACAUUCUAGGGUCUCCCGAGUGGCGCAGCGGUCUAAGGCACUGCAUCUCAGUGCUAGAGGUGUCACUACAGACCCUGGUUUGAUCCUGGGCUGUAUCACCGGCCUUGAUUGGGAGUCCCAUAGGGAGGCGCGGCAUCGUCCGGGCUAGGAGUGGGUUUGGCUGGUGUAGGCCGUCAUUGUAAAUAAGAAUUUGUUCAUUUAUUUUAUUUCACCUUUUAUUUAACCAGGUAGGCUAGUUGAGAACAAGUUCUCAUUUGCAACUGUGACCUGGCCAAGAUAAAGCAUAGCAAUUCGACACAUACAACAACACAGAGUUACCCAUGGAAUAAACAAAACAUACAGUCAAUAAUACAGUAGAACAAAAGAAAACAAAAAGCCUAUAUACAGUGAGUGCAAGUCAUGUCUGACUUGCUUACGUAGUUAAAUAAAGGUGAAGAAAAAUGAAUGCAUCUGUUGGUCACAUAUACCUUUAAAAAAAAAAUGGGCCUCACAAAUAUGCUUUUUGUGCGUAUGGAACAUCUCGAGGAGCUUUUGAAACAUGGGACCAACACUUUACAUGUUGCGUUUAUAUUUUUGUUUAGUGUAUCUUUUCAGAGUAGCUUCCCCAACACUGCUCACAGGAUAUUUAUGUAUUUCCAGUAUCACUAGCUAGAGAGCAAUUGAAAAAAUGGAACUAUUUCAUUUCCGCAAUAAUUUUAACAAAAGUAGCUUUGCACACUUUUCAUCCAAGAGGACUCUUCAGAACCUAUGGAAAAAGGGCUUCUGAAAGGCCUGCAGAUCUACUAUGUGUACAGUAACAAUGUAAAUAGGCCUACAGUAUACCUGCACUGUAAUUAUUAUGUGUACCUGUACUGUAAUAUAAUUGCAAUGUAAAUACAUUUUACAUUGACUACUUUUUACGCAGAAAUGGCUCAUCGAUGAAUAAGGGAUGUUAUACCCAGAUACAAAGACUUGCUGUAGAUGUUUGAUCACAGUUUAUACACAUUACUGUACACCUACCUCUAUGCUAGUUUGUGCUAUAUAUUUUAAAGGUUUUGCCACUCAUGAUAUAGAUAGGCAUAGGAUUACUUGUAGAAGAUACUAGCUAGGCUACACUGUGUAAAAAGUUGGAAUAUCUCUUCAGACAAUGUAUUGGUGAAGACAUCUUGACAUGACUUUACAGAGGAUGCUUAGAAAUAUGGGAGGUUUCCAUUACCUUGUCUAAUCCAUUGUGUCACAUAUCACAUCAGCAGCAUGGGAGACAUGUUCCAACAGGAUACAAAGAGAGAAAGGGAGAUGGAGAGAUUUUUUUAUUGAUGUCACACAAAAUAGGGUGACUAUGCUAUUAGAUAAAGAUGUAUAAAAUUGAGUUGGAUGAAUUGCAUCGCACAGGACUAUGGGUGACUUAAGAAAACUGCGACCACAUCUGUCUCCUCUAACUAAAUGACAGCUGUAAAAGUCAUUUGCCGGGAUGCAACAGGAUAUGGUGAUGAAAUGUUUUAAAUCCUCAAACUAAACUCUGGCAUUGAACUCUGACAGUUUGAGAGCCCAAGAUAGGGCCCCACGGGACACCAUCCCCCAUUCCCUGCACCCUCAACCCCCUAGACCCCCCAGUCCAGAAUCACAGGCGGGCUGAACGCAGGCAUUGAGCUGUAACGACAGUGCACUUGUCUGCCCCGCUAUAAUGAGCUGCUAUUUACAGCAAAUAAGGUGGCUAAGAGAACACAGGCCUAAAUGAAGCCCUGGUGAAGCCGUCACUCCCCUGAGGGCAGGGCCUGGCAGGGAGGCAGGCCGGCAUUGAGGGACUUCUUAUUCCUUUCUCCGUGGACACACUUCUGAGCUUUAAUGGGAGACACUCACCAAUCAAUGGAAUAGGUUAAAGGAGCCAUUGCAUUCCAAUAAAUGUAUGCUGGGCCCACCCGACUAUGGCGUUGGAGUGGAGUGAAGCACAGUGUGACAUAAGCAAUGAAAAGUGCAGCUCCGGAAAUAUUAGGCUACAAUUUAAUAGGAAAAUAAUAAAUCCAGGGCAUGAUAAAGAAGUUGAAUAAUGACUGGAUGUUAGAAUAAAGAGGGUUCUCCUUGGAUCA